rnacentral:rRNA from 1 species
UACAGAGGGUGCAAGCGUUAUCCGGAUUCACUGGGUUUAAAGGGUGCGUAGGUGGGUUGGUAAGUCAGUGGUGAAAUCCCCGAGCUUAACUUGGGAACUGCCAUUGAUACUAUUAAUCUUGAAUACCGUGGAGGUUAGCGGAAUAUGUCAUGUAGCGGUGAAAUGCUUAGAUAUGACAUAGAACACCAAUUGCGAAGGCAGCUGGCUACACGAAUAUUGACACUGAUGCACGAAAGCGUGGGGAUCAAACAGG